rnacentral:misc_RNA from 1 species
UUGGCCCUGCAUGAUUCAACUGAGGGUGAUGAAGCUGUGGAGAAGAUGGCUGGGCGUGAAUCUUAGGAUACUGAACAUCAUGUUCCCUCGUAUCAUAAGGACCAUGAAAAAAGGCUCCACCAUCUUGGCCUCCUAUAAAAGGCCUUUCAUCCCGGUAUACAGAAUUUAAAGCUGCUAGUUUUUCAGCAAUGUCAACCGCAGUCUCUGACGUGGAUAAUAACUCAGCUUUAGGUGAGUUCCUGGCAGGCAUGAAGUUCUGGAGAUUAAGAGGAUCACUAACUGUAAUCAAGCUAUCUUCUUCAGGAAGUCGAAUUUCAACAGACCCAUCAAAGNNNNNCAUCAAAGCCACCAACCUUGGAUCCCAAUUCAGUCCGGUGUUGUGAUGAAUCCACUUCCUUUUGACAAUCAAACCCUGAAAAUUUCUCUUCAUUACUUUCUGAUUUAAU